rnacentral:rRNA from 1 species
AGCGAACGCUGGCGGCAGGCCUAACACUUGCAAGUCGAGGGGUAGAGGAAGCUUGCUUCCUUGAGACCGGCGCACGGGUGCGUAACGCGUAUGCAAUCUACCUUUUACAGAGGGAUAGCCCAGAGAAAUUUGGAUUAAUACCUCAUAGUACCUUUGCCUGGCAUCGGGUGAUUAUUAAAGUUCCAACGGUAAAAGAUGAGCAUGCGUCCUAUUAGCUAGAUGGUAAUGUAACGGCUUACCAUGGCAACGAUAGGUAGGGGUCCUGAGAGGGAGGUCCCCCACCCUGUUACUGUGAACAGGACCAGACUCCUACGGGAGGCAGCAGUGAGGAAUAUUGGACAUUGGGCGCAAGCCUGAUCCAGCGAUGCCGCGUGCAGGAAGUCGGUCCUAUGGAUUGUAAACUGCUUUUGUACGGGAAGAAACCCUCCUACGUGUAGGGGCUUGACGGUAACGUAAGAAUAAGGAUCGGCUAACUCCGUGCCAGCCGCCGCGGUAACAC